rnacentral:rRNA from 1 species
GAUGAACGCUGGCGGCGUGCCUAAUACAUGCAAGUAGAACGCUGAAGGAGGAGCUUGCUUCUCUGGAUGAGUUGCGAACGGGUGAGUAACGCGUAGGUAACCUGCCUGGUAGCGGGGGAUAACUAUUGGAAACGAUAGCUAAUACCGCAUAAGAGCAGUUGUUGCAUGACAGCUGUUUAAAAGGUGCAAUUGCACCACUACCAGAUGGACCUGCGUUGUAUUAGCUAGUUGGUGAGGUAACGGCUCACCAAGGCGACGAUACAUAGCCGACCUGAGAGGGUGAUCGGCCACACUGGGACUGAGACACGGCCCAGACUCCUACGGGAGGCAGCAGUAGGGAAUCUUCGGCAAUGGGGGCAACCCUGACCGAGCAACGCCGCGUGAGUGAAGAAGGUUUUCGGAUCGUAAAGCUCUGUUGUAAGAGAAGAACGAGUGUGAGAGUGGAAAGUUCACACUGUGACGGUAUCUUACCAGAAAGGGACGGCUAACUACGUGCCAGCAGCCGCGGUAAUACGUAGGUCCCGAGCGUUAUCCGGAUUUAUUGGGCGUAAAGCGAGCGCAGGCGGUUAGAUAAGUCUGAAGUUAAAGGCUGUGGCUUAACCAUAGUACGCUUUGGAAACUGUUUAACUUGAGUGCAAGAGGGGAGAGUGGAAUUCCAUGUGUGGCGGUGAAAUGCGUAGAUAUAUGGAGGAACACCGGUGGCGAAAGCGGCUCUCUGGCUUGUAACUGACGCUGAGGCUCGAAAGCGUGGGGAGCAAACAGG